ACAUUUGCUUUCAACUAUCAUAUGUUAUCUUUAAGUGGUAUAGAAAAACAUCUGUGGUGUUUAUAUAAAAGUUAGUUGGUGUUUCUCGAUGCCUUCGUGUGAGUGAACAAUGAGUUCAUUCAUAACAUUAGUCUAGGAUUACUCAUGUUAGUAGUGCUUGAGAAGGUGACGUUGUAAGUUGCUCCCUUACCUAAGCCACCUUGGGAGAAGAUGGUGGUAUUUAAAUUUUCUUCUCAGCUAAGCCACUAAGACAGAAAGGUAGUGGCAUUACAUUAUUAUUACAUGUACUUACCCAAGCCAAGACGGAAUGAAGGUGGUAGUAUUGAGUUUCUCCCUCAGUCAAGCUACCGAGAUCAAGAGAAGGUGGUGGCUUUAAGUACUGGGCUUUACCUUAGCUAUUAAAACAACAGCCUGCCUGGUCCCUUCGAAUACCCAACAAGAAAAAGGAGACAAGAUGGUGAUGAAUUCUGCCCUCAACUGAACCACUAAGACAGAAAAUGUGGUGGUAUCACAUAACAUUCUUAGCUAAACCACAAAGAUAAAAAGUGCUGGUUUUAAGCUUUGCCUUAUCCUAAACAACCAAGAUAGAACGUGGUGUUGAGUUCUCCCUCAACUAAACCAUGAAGAUAGAAGGUGGAUAUUUCCCAUGCUUAAGCUAGCAAGACCGAGAAAGUGACAGCAUCAAGUUAUUCUCACAUCAACCACCAAGGCACCUAAUCAAUUCAGAAUGAAAGCUAAAGCUUUAGCAGAUAUUUUAUUUACAAUCAUCUUGUCUUUCACUGUUCAUGCGUCAGGUCUCAGGGUGCAUGUGGAGUAUGUGGAUAAUCACUUCACCUCAAGGACUCAGCACAUCGUGAGAGAAGCUGUGUUCCACAUAUCCAGAUUACUUAGUAUUCAAAAUAAGUUAAGGAAACCAGUAUUUCAUGUCCCAAGGGAAAAGAAUGCUUGUGUUUCUAUAUAUUUUGAUGGGCCAAAUAAAGGCAAAUGUGGCCAGAUAUCUAAACAUUACCUUGGUAUUGAGAAAUGUGGUGAGGCCAAGAUACCACAAGCCCAUCUGGAGGGUCUGCAAGUUUUUGGCCCCAAAGAAGUAGAGCCCCUCUCCACAUCAUUGCCUCAGGGACAUGGAUUUACAGAUGGUACAAAUUUUGUUGUUUACUUAACCUCCAAGCAAAGCAAGUUAUGUUCUUCCUCUCUGGCCCACUCCCAUGUGUGUCGCAUGGAAGCAUCAAGGAUUGGCGGGGUGCACAGUGGACGGCCAGUUGCUGGAACAAUCAAUGCAUGCUGGAAAGAAGGAGAAACCGAUGACAUCAUGAUAAAGAGAGUUGUCAUUCAUGAACUGAUACACCUCCUUGGUAUGAACUACAGAAGUAUAAGGGAAUUUAUUGAGUGUGAUAGCAAAGGCAACACUAGGAUGUGCUGGAAGUUGAAGGAAAGAGUAUUAUGGGUCACCCAGGAUGGAGAGCUUGUGCUGUGGUCCAAGCACUUUAGGAAGGCCAUAAGACAUCAGAAGAUUUGUUUAGAUGGAACUCAGUGUCAAAUUUCUAGUAAUUUCCAAAGUUGUUCUCUUCAGGUUUGUGACCUAUACAGUGGCAUGGUUUUAGAAAACUUGACACAGAGUUUUGACACAUUUGGUGGUGUUAUCUUGGCAAAAUCUCGCACUGGCACCCACUGGCCUGAAGAAUUGUUUGACAGUCCAAUGUCACUCAUGAUUCCGACAUAUGUAAUGGUUGAGCAUGUGAUGGUUGACCCUCUUACCUUAGCACUCUUUAGAACAUCAGGCUGGUACCAGAUCAACCACAGUGCACUGCUCUGUAUGAAUCACUUCCUUGGUUCUGCUUCAUCUCCACUCAUCUGUAAGAACUUGAUAGAAAAUAACAGAGAUUUUAUUUCCUCAAAUGAAACUUUUACAAGAGAGCAAAUCACAGCUCAGAACUCACCUUCACAGAGUAGUCCAAUAAAUAUGUCUGAAAAUCAUGAUCCAGUCAGUACUUCAAAGGAUGUAAUAGGAAAUGGGAUUCAGAAUUCCACUAAUGAACUCAAUAUGUUCAUCUGGACAAAAAGAUCUAAUACUGAUAGAAAGCCUGAAAAUGUGAAGUCUAUUGCAUCACUGUGUUCUCCUUUGUGCACUGCAAUCACUGUGUUCCAGACCUUACUUAUAUACUUCACACUGCAGGGUGGUGGCUGGGCCAGGCAGGACGUAGAGCCUUUGCUUCCUCCUCCACCCCAUCACUAACUACUGCACAGCCUGCUGAAGCUCCUCAGGCUCCUCAGGCUCUUCAAGAAGCACCUGAAAUGGAUUAUGUCUCAGAACAGAUGAAAAACACCCUCAAGCACCCAGACUAUUUUAAAGUUUCUGAGUUGUUCACUGUGGAAGACUUAUUUAAUGCUCGUGUUCAUCUCGGACACACUGAGGGUUCUCUGGAUGAACAU